rnacentral:lncRNA from 1 species
ACUAACCAAUAUUUAGAAAAACUAAUUAACUUAAUAAAAAACUAAAAAUAAUGACCAAUAAAAAAGAAGUCGAGUACAAAAGGAACUGGUCACACUAAGAUUGUCAGCACAAAACACGUUAUUUGAAAAAUACACUGCUUCCUCAAAUUUUGACAAUUCAAUCGAUUUUUUCUGUAUUCUCAAAUAAAUUCAUUCUGACUGACAUUUC